AUGAAAAAGAUUGAUUCGAAGAAGUUCGAGAAAGAUGAAAAAACUUAAUAGUAGAUAACGAUUCGUAAGACAUUUUGAAGUUUGACGUUUAAUGGAUGAGUUACUUAAGAAGUGAAGAAAUCGAGAAGAUAUUGAGUUUGGUAUCUGACAUUUCGUUGAAUUUAAAAAUAAUUAAAUUGUUGAGAAAAUGAAGAGGUUAAGAAAUUAUUUCAUUUUCAAUGAAUUGGAAAAAGCAGGAAAAUCAUGAUCAUACUACAUCUAGUACGCUCUUUCGCCAUUUUGUUUCGAAGUGUGACCAAACAGUAAUUCUUCACGUUUAAUUGAAACUAUGUUCUCGAAUAAACGUUGUGACCAGCAGUGACAUAUCCAGCACUGAUUUUUAUUUUCAAUGAAUUGGAAAAACAAUAAUGUCACUUUCGAAGAAUCUCACUGACAAACAUCACCGGUAGAGGCUCGGCACGAAAGACGACGAAGGUGUCGAAGAGAAGAUUCAAUUUUCUCUAAAUAGGAAACACUCGACGCCGGCAUUCGCGAAAAUUCGUCCGUAGCCGCCCACGAAAAUACAACGCGCGGCUGUUAGCAUGUCAGCGGGUGCUUUACGAUCACCCGAUAUAACGCGGGGAUUAGUUUGUCAACGGGGAAGCCGGCGUGCGCGUACACGCGCGUGCAUAUCACCAUCGCAGCGUCGUCUUUGGUGCCACGCAUUGUUCCCGGGGAAUUUCGUAAUGAUCCUAACGCCAAUGAACCGAGACGUGUCAGAAUUGUAACCACCAGAAUUCCUCACCAAAGAAACUACACAAUUUUCCUCGGAAACAAACAUGUCUAAGUAUCCUCGACACUAACAUAAUUAGAUAAACUAUCUGAAAUUACCAUUACCUU